rnacentral:rRNA from 1 species
CAGUGUUCGAUUAAGCCAUGCGAGUUAAAUGUUCUUCGUGAACAUAGCAGACUGCUCAGUAACACGUGGAUAACCUGCCCUUAGGACUGGCAUAACCCCGGGAAACUGGGGAUAAUUCCGGAUAGAUCAUAAAUGCUGGAAUGCUUUAUGAUUGAAAGGUUUCGACCGCCUUAGGAUGGAUCUGCGGCCUAUCAGGUUGUAGUGGGUGUAAUGUACCUACUAGCCUACGACGGGUACGGGUUGUGGAAGCAAGAGCCCGGAGAUGGAUUCUGAGACAUGAAUCCAGGCCCUACGGGGCGCAGCAGGCGCGAAAACUUUACAAUGCGGGAAACCGUGAUAAGGGAACACUGAGUGCUAGCAUUUAUGUUAGCUGUCCACAUGUGUAAAUAGCAUGUGAUAGCAAGGGCUGGGCAAGACCGGUGCCAGCCGCCGCGGUAACACCGGCAGCCCGAGUGGUGAUCACUAUUAUUGGGUCUAAAGGGUCCGUAGCCGGUUUAAUCAGUCUUCUGGGAAAUCUAAUCGCUUAACUAUUAGGCUUCCAGGGGAUACUGUUAGACUUGGGACCGGGAGAGGUAAGAGGUACUGCAGGGGUAGGAGUGAAAUCUUGUAGUCCCUGUGAGACCACCAGUGGCGAAGGCGUCUUACCAGAACGGGUCCGACGGUGAGGGACGAAAGCUGGGGGCACGAACCGGAUUAGAUACCCGGGUAGUCCCAGCUGUAAACGAUGCUCGUUAGGUGUCAGGAACGGUGCGACUGUUUCUGGUGCCGAAGGGAAGCCGUGAAACGAGCCACCUGGGAAGUACGGCCGCAAGGCUGAAACUUACA